UUUUGGAGGGCAAGUCUGGUGCCAGCAGCCGCGGUAAUUCCAGCUCCAAUAGCGUAUAUUAAAGUUGUUGCAGUUAAAAAGCUCGUAGUUGAAUUUCGGGAUCAAUAUGUCGGUCGUGCCUUGGUACGUACUGGCUUCAUUGGUUUCCACCUUCUGAAGAACCUCGAUGUCAUUAAUUUGGUGUCUUGGGGAAUCAGGACUGUUACUUUGAAAAAAUUAGAGUGUUUAAAGCAGGCCA
rnacentral:rRNA from 1 species